CGCUCGGCCCCGGCCAGACUUACAGCCAGUUGCUCGCGGCGGCUGAGAAGACGGCGAAGACGAGGAGGCGCAGCGAACGCAGAUAAAGAAUCCGAGGCGCAGAGAGGUGGCACUGCUGGAAGGAACAGAGCCAGAUCCACAAGAUCCUUCAUUCCGACAAUAAAUAUUCACUGAAGAUCUGCCACAUGUCAGGCCCCAGCCCAGGUGCUGGGGAUUUAGCAGAAAACCAGCCAGACCCAUUUCCUGCAUCCAUGGAGUGCACAGGCUGGUGGGGGAGAUGGGCUAGAAAUCCAUGAACCAAAUUAUACUGAGACGAGCGAGCACCGAGCGCCUAGCGUGGACUGCGACCGCUCGGGCUCCUGUAUCUGUGACAGAUGUGCUUGGGCUCCUCGUAGGACCGAGGGACUUUGUUAUCCACACCACUGGCCUUGAAGUUGGCUGCUACCUGAUGAGAUGAAUUAAGAACAUACCAGCACUUUGGGAGGCUGAAGUGGGUGGAUCACGAGAUCAGGAAAUUGAGGUCCAGUGAGGUGUCUUGGCCAGGACACUCAGUCAGGACGUGACAUGAACACAGGACUGUCUGACUUCAAAUCCAGUGCUCCUUCCCCUGCAGUCCCCACCCCACUGACUGGGGGACAGUGCUCCAGGCAGCUGGAAUGGGACACGGUUUGUGUGGCAGCGAGAUAUCCAGGCUCUCCUCCUUCCAGAUCUAAGGCAUGCGGUGUGAACAGGAGCAAUCCCUUCACAGUGUGGAGCCACCGGCUUUGGAGUUGUUUGUGGCUGCAGUGUGUAACCCAGCAUCUCCUGACUGAUGUUAUAGGUUCUGCCGGAGGGGCAAAUGCGGGCAGCAAGGGCUUGCAGCCCUGGAAUUAACAAAUGAGUACUAAUGAGCCCUCCCUUCCUCCCUCCCUCCCUUUCUCCUUUCCUUCCUUCUUUUCCAAAAUAUAUUUAUCCAUCUAUUUAUU
rnacentral:lncRNA from 1 species